CAUUAAAAGAAAACUUAUAUACAUAGUUUACCUCGUAAUAUGAAUUUGCCCAUACCUGACGUACCUUUCAUAUUUUCUUACAGAGAAGACUCCACCCACGGAACCAACGGGACCUUCGCCUAACCCGCAUGAUGAAGGUAAUUCAUCACCCACACAACCAACGGGACCUUUGCCUAACCCGCAGCACAGCGAUGAGCAGCACGCAAAUGUGAACUCUGAUGAAGGAAAUGCGCCCAACCCGACCGCCGCUAUUUCAGAAGGUGACAGUGGUAUGUGCACCGCAGAGUGGAACCUUUAUGCAAUGGAGUCAGCAUUAGAAUCCAGCAUGCUAGAGGAUUUUUAUAGGAAAACAAAAGACGGGUAUCCGGAGAUGCCAACCAACCUGCCGGGCUCUUAACCAAACAUGUUGGUGACAAAAAACUCCGUGUCAAAUACCAUCCUGACAACUGGCCAAUCAGUAAGGGUUGGUUGUUGUAUCCGCGAGAAACAAACGCUAAAGUGAACGAGAGUGAGGCCGAGGAUGAAAGUUCAAAAACCCAACCCACUUGUGUCGCAGCUUCUUCUAAGAACGAGGUACCUACCUUCUAACAUACUUAUACACUAAAAAAGAUAUUUCAGUGCCUAAAUUUUUUUAUUAAGACUGCCCGAUUUCCUCA